AUUUAUUACCAUUCUACCAAGUAGAGUGGUGAUUAAGUUGUUGGACCUGUGGGUGUCCCACUCCAUUUGCCGGUGGAUCUUGGACUUCCUCACAGACCACUCUCAGAGGGUGAGAGUUGGGCCCUCAUAUCUCUUCGGCCAUUAGCCUCAGCACCGGCUCCCCUCAGGGCUGUGUGCUGAGUCCUUUGCUCUACACCCUCUACACCUAUGACUGCACCCCCUCUCACUUCAGCAAUAAUAUCAUUAAGUUUGCUGAUGAUACUACUGUGGUGGGACUCAUUUCUGGUGAGGAUGAGUCCGCCUAUAGAGAGGAGGUGCAGCGGUUGUCAGUCUGGUGUAGGGAGAAUAAUUUGAUCCUCAACACCUCAAAGACAAAGGAGAUGGUGGUGGACUAUAGA